ensembl:snRNA U2 U2 spliceosomal RNA
UUUGCUUCCGAGCCUUUUGGAUAAGCCAGUGCAGUGUCUGCUCUUACCGGGCUAAUAUCUGAUACGUCCUCUAUGCAAGAACGAUAUAUUAAACGGGUUUUGGAGCCAGGAGAUGGAGUAGCAGCUUACUGUGUCCGCUCCACACACUGACAUGGUGUUACCACACUCCAGGAAUGCUGCACCCCCU